GAUGAAGAACGUAGCGAAAUGCGAUAAGUAGUGUGAAUUGCAGAAGUACCGUGAAUCAUCGAAUCUUUGAACGCAAAUUGCACUCUCUGGUAUUCCGGGGAGUAUGCCUGUUUGAGGGUCGCUUAACAAACCAUCGAUUUCGUUGCUUUUUUUUUUAAAGUGAUGUUUAUCGGAUUUGAGCCGUCUUUUUUUUUAUAUUUAAGUGGCUUAAAAUUGAUUUUUUUGGUACGAUCGAAGCGUAUUUUUAUGAUCAAUUUUUGGUUAAAGAAACGCACACGUACCGUUAUUUAUAUGAUGUAAUACGUUUGACUAUUGGAUUUAGUUCAUUCGUAUACGAUAUCUUUCAAUAUUUGACCUCAAAUCAGGUAAGAACACCCGCUGAACUUAAGCAUAUCAAUAAGCGGAGA
rnacentral:misc_RNA from 1 species